UACGAAGGGGGCUAGCGUUGCUCGGAAUCACUGGGCGUAAAGCGCACGUAGGCGGAUCUUUAAGUCAGGGGUGAAAUCCCGAGGCUCAACCUCGGAACUGCCCUUGAUACUGGGGAUCUCGAGUCCGGAAGAGGUUGGUGGAACUCCGAGUGUAGAGGUGAAAUUCGUAGAUAUUCGGAAGAACACCAGUGGCGAAGGCGGCCAACUGGUC
rnacentral:rRNA from 1 species